rnacentral:rRNA from 1 species
GAUGAACGCUAGCUACAGGCUUAACACAUGCAAGUCGAGGGGAAACGGCAUCGAAAGCUUGCUUUUGAUGGGCGUCGACCGGCGCACGGGUGAGUAACGCGUAUCCAACCUGCCCAUCACUUGGGAAUAACCUUGCGAAAGUAAGACUAAUGCCCAAUGACAUCCCACGAAGGCAUCCGAAUGGGAUUAAAGAUUUAUCGGUGAUGGAUGGGGAUGCGUCUGAUUAGCUUGUUGGCGGGGUGACGGCCCACCAAGGCAACGAUCAGUAGGGGUUCUGAGAGGAAGGUCCCCCACAAUGGAACUGAGACACGGUCCAAACUCCUACGGGAGGCAGCAGUGAGGAAUAUUGGUCAAUGGGCGAGAGCCUGAACCAGCCAAGUAGCGUGCAGGAUGACGGCCCUAUGGGUUGUAAACUGCUUUUAUAAGGGAAUAAAGUGGGUCACGUGUGACUUUUUGCAUGUACCUUAUGAAUAAGGACCGGCUAAUUCCGUG